UGACCUCGGAUCAGGUAGGGAUACCCGCUGAACUUAAGCAUAUCAAUAAGCGGAGGAAAAGAAACCAACCGGGAUUGCCUCAGUAACUGCGAGUGAAGUGGCAAAAGCUCAAAUUUGAAAUCCGGUACCAUCGGUGCCUGAGUUGUAAUUUGGAGAGACAAAUUUGGUUGACGGCGCCGGCCUAGGUUCCUUUGAACAGGACAACACAGAGGGUGAGAAUCCCGUGCCUGGCUGGAUGACCGUCGCGUUUCUAAAUUGUCUUCGACGAGUCGAGUUGUUUGGGAAUGCAGCUCAAAAUGGGUGGUAAAUGUCAUCUAAAGCUAAAUAUUGGCGAGAGACCGAUAGCGCACAAGUAGAGUGAUCGAAAGAUGAAAAGCACUUUGAAAAGAGAGUCAAAAAGUACGUGAAAUUGCUGAAAGGGAAGCGCUUGAGACCAGACUCGAGCCGUGGUGAUCAGCCGUGCUUCUGUUCGGCUCCACUUGCCACGGUUUGGGCCAGCAUCGGUUCUGGCGGUCGGAUAAAAGGUGGAGGAAUGUAGCUUCCUUCGGGGAGUGUUAUUAGCCCCCACCACAAUGCGGCCAGCCGGGACCGAGGACCGCGC
rnacentral:rRNA from 1 species